rnacentral:rRNA from 1 species
AAUCAACGCUGGCGGCGUGCCUAACACAUGCAAGUCGAACGAGAAAAGUCACUUCGGUGACUGAGUAGAGUGGCGAACGGGUGAGUAACGCGUGGGUGAUCUGCCCUUUGGUGGGGGAUAACCCGGGGAAACCCGGGCUAAUACCGCAUGAGCCUGGAGUUGUCAUGACUUCAGGGAAAGCAUUUAUGUGCCGAAGGAGGAGCCCGCGUCCGAUUAGCUAGUUGGUGGGGUAAGAGCCUACCAAGGCAACGAUCGGUAGCCGGUCUGAGAGGACGGACGGUCACACUGGGACUGAGACACGGCCCAGACUCCUACGGGAGGCAGCAGUGGGGAAUUUUGGGCAAUGGGCGAAAGCCUGACCCAGCAACGCCGCGUGGAGGACGAAGGUUUUCGGAUCGUAAACUCCUGUCUAGAGGGACGAAGCAAGUGACGGUACCUCUGGAGGAAGCCCCGGCUAACUCCGUG